GUNGCGCAGGCUAACGCNUUAAGCNUCCCGCNUGGGGAGUACGGUCGCAAGAUUAANACUCNNAGGAAUUGACGGGGGCCCGCACAAGCGGUGGAGCAUGUGGUUCAAUUCGAAGCAACGCGCAGAACCUUACCAACCUUUGACAUCCCGGUCGCGGGCACCAGAGAUGGAGCCCUUCAGUUCGGCUGGACCGGAGACAGGUGCUGCAUGGCUGUCGUCAGCUCGUGUCGUGAGAUGUUGGGUUAAGUCCCGCAACGAGCGCAACCCUCGCCCUUAGUUGCCAUCAUUCAGUUGGGCACUCUAAGGGGACUGCCGGUGAUAAGCCGCGAGGAAGGUGGGGAUGACGUCAAGUCCUCAUGGCCCUUACAGGUUGGGCUACACACGUGCUACAAUGGCGGUGACAGUGGGAUGCAAUGGGGCAACCCUGCGCAAAUCUCAAAAAGCCGUCUCAGUUCGGAUUGCACUCUGCAACUCGAGUGCAUGAAGUUGGAAUCGCUAGUAAUCNCAGAUCAGCAACGCUGCGGUGAAAUACGUNCCCGGGGCCUUGUACACCACCCGCCCCGUCCACAACCCAUUGGGGAAGUUUGGGGUUUUUAACCCUGGAA
rnacentral:rRNA from 1 species